GAAGGGGAGAGGAGGAAGAGGAGGAAAACUGGAGACAGAGAAGUAAUGGGGAAGGAGAGGACGACACAGGAAAGAUGAGGAGGAGGAGGAGGAAGGAGAGAGAUCGAAGGCAAUUCUGCUCCUGCUUGGGAGUCCAGUUUCCAGUUCGAUAUGGGAGCUUCAGAAGACAGCCUCAUCCUGUGCUUUGGGAGAGACAGGGGCUUUUGUGGGAGAGAGAAAAGUGGCCUCUUCUCAGCAGAUGACCCUGGGGAUGGGCCCCGGCUGCUCUUUGCCCUCUGAGGAACUUAUAGCCCAGCGGCAAGGAUGAUCAUGGACUGUGCUACAAGCCACUCCACACCCUGCAAGGGAGCGGAAUAAAGUGCUCUGGAGUCCAGUGGUGGGAGACAACACUGCCAAGCUGAGAAGGCGGGCAGGCUUUCUGGAAGAGGUGACAUGUGGGCAGGCUUUGACCAAUGGGCAGCAUUUACCUGUGAAGGCCAUGGGGGUAGGGAGAAUUCAGCCUCACUCCUACCCACAAAGCUCUCUAGCACCAGGAACCAGUUUCAUGAAAGACAAUGUUUCCACGGAUGGGGGGACAGGAAGCGGAUGGUUUGAAGAUGAAACUGUACCACCUCAGAUCAUCAGGAAUUAGAUUCUCAUAAGGAGUGCGCAAUUCGCAAUAGGGUUCACAUCCUUUGAGAAUCUAACAUUGAGGAGCAUGGGCGGUGGGGGAAGCCCUGCUGUAGCACAUCAUCUUGUUUUAUUGUAUUCAUAGCACUUAUCUGAAUUUAUCUUGUUUAUUUGAAUAUCCGUUUUCUUUUGUCUCCACCCCUACAACGUAAGCUAAAGCCUCCGGUGUCUUGUCCACCACACUUAGUGACUGUGUCCCCAGCACUUAAAACAGUGUCUGGUGCUCUUUAAAGGGAGGAAGAAAGGGAGACAGGGAGGGAAGGAAGAAGAGAGAGAGAGAGAGAGAAGGGAGGGAGGGGAAAAGCUCACCUGCCAAGGCACAGGACCUGAAGGCCAGUCUGGCAGGAAGAAGAUGAUGGCAGGCCUUGAAUACAGGUUGAGGAAGGUGGACUCAACAUUUGCCACUGGGGAGCCAUGAGGUUUAUGAGCAGGGCAGUGAUGCAUACAGGCCAGUGGCCCCUGGGCCAGCCAUUUACUCUGCAGAAUCUCCUUGACUAUGAAACAUAUGGGUCUCCGAUUUAGCCAAUUGACAGGUAAACUCUACCUAGUCGCAGGAUUCAACCAUGACCUUUGGCAUUAUAGGUACAUACGUAAACCUAUUAUAUAGCAUUUUAGCUUACAUUGUAGGGGUGGGGCCGGCAAAACACAGAUGUUCAGAUAAACAAAAUAAAUUCACAUAUGCCUUCUCUCCUUAGCUUCACCCUCAGACCAUCCCACAGAAAUAGGUCCUAGAUGGAAACAGCUUAUGGUACAAAAGUCAUGUCUUUGAGAAAACACAUUUGCAUGGAACAGCCAUACCAUUGCCUUUCUCUAAAGCACACACGGAGGACAGUACGGCAUGCAGAAUGGGGAGGGAAGUGGCUAGAUCACUCAUACCUUCCUAGGAGCCCCCUUCUACCCUUCAGAAGUGGACCAAGCCAGUGCCCAGUGUCUCACCCUUGCUAAAGAAUAGCUCACUUGAUUUCAGGGCCAAAGAAGGGGGUGGUAAGGCCAGGCAGGGGCUGAACGAGAACCCUCUCGUGAGCUACCUGCCCACUUUCCAAAACUGAGCAGGACAAAUGCAACGGGGAGGUUUCAUUUUAAAUGUUCUCCAGUUGGAGAAGGGCUUUAAUCUCAACAACGAAGACUCGCCAGCCCUUCAGCCCCUGGGCCUGGGGAUGAAAGCUCUGGGCCUUCAUGGAGAGGUCCACUGUCUGCAGAGUCCUGGCCAUAGCUGGGAAGGAGGGAUCCUGGGCUCUGGUCUUGACUACAGGACAUCUGGUAUCUCUGUUGGAGCCAAGUCGAAUCAGAUGCUCAGGCUCCUAGUGGGAAGGGGCAGAGCAGCAGAGAGAUCUGACCUGGAAAGAGCAUGUGGUGGGUGCAGGCACAGGGCUCUGGAUGCAGGACUGCAGCCCUAACUCUACCGCUGGACAGCUCUGCUACCUUAGGCAGCUCCGUUACACACUCUGCACCACAAUUUCCUCAUCUGCAAAAUGGAGAAAUCAUCACUCUGCCUACUUCAGAAGAGCACUGUAGGGAUCAAAUGAGCUGAAAGGGAGAUGAAAGGAGUUUGUGCUGCACACAGGGAGAUGAUGAGGCCAUACCCUCCUCACUGUGGCACAGAACACGGUAGCAGGAGGGACUAGAAAGGCCCUGUACUCAGAAUUAAUUAGGAGGCUCUUGUUUCUCGACAACUGCCCAGGGCCUGAAUCCCAGCCCCACUUCUCACCUGUAGGUGACCAUGAACCAGACAUCUCAGCCCUCUGGGAGGCUUGUCUUUGAAGCGGGAGGAGGGGAGGAGCUGGCUCCAGUGAUUGCUAAGGUGCUGUCGAGCUCUGCAUUUGUUCCCUGGAGCCUCCCUAAUUUCCAGACUUCAAAGUUCUGAAUUCUCCCUGAUGCCCCAUCUUACUCUCAACCAAGGGGAGACCAGGG